UACGUAGGGUGCAAGCGUUAAUCGGAAUUACUGGGCGUAAAGCGUGCGCAGGCGGUUAUGUAAGACAGAUGUGAAAUGCCCGGGCUUAACCUGGGAACUGCAUUUGUGACUGCAUGGCUAGAGUUUGGCAGAGGGGGGUAGAAUUCCACGUGUAGCAGUGAAAUGCGUAGAUAUGUGGAGGAACACCGAUGGCGAAGGCAGCCCCCUGGGUCAAGACUGACGCUCAUGCACGAAAGCGUGGGGAGCAAACGAGGAU
rnacentral:rRNA from 1 species